UACAGGGGGUGCAAACGUUGCUCGGAAUUAUUGGGCGUAAAGCGCGCGUAGGCGGCUACUUAAGUCGGAUGUGAAAGCCCCUGGCUCAACUGGGGAAGUGCACCCGAAACUGAGUAGCUUGAGUGCAAAAGAGGGCCGCGGAAUUCCCGGUGUAGAGGUGAAAUUCGUAGAUAUCGGGAGGAACACCGGUGGCGAAGGCGGCGGCCUGGGUUGACACUGACGCUGAGGCGCGAAAGCCAGGGGAGCAAACGGG
rnacentral:rRNA from 1 species